GCGAACCCGUACAUAUAUUGUACUACGUCACAUCCGGACAGUUAUUUUCAGUUGGAGACAGCGGGUGAACACGGAGGCUGGAGACAUGUGUGCCACCAGCAUAAAAACAGAAAGGACUACUAAGAUGAAGCCAGGGUCCUGCUCUACUCAGACCUCCUGACUGACAUCUGGCUCUCAUGUAGGAGUUAGGACAAAACGCUGAAAAUCCAGGUGUGAAUGGAUGUCCGUCUCUGUGAGUCAGUGCUGUGAUUGACUCGUGACCUGUGUACCCUGUCUUGUCAGCUGGGACAGACACCAGUCUUUCCUUGACCCUGGAUGCCUCCCAGACUCCUGCUGCACCUGUGAAGGCAGGAAGGCGAC